rnacentral:rRNA from 1 species
GAUGAACGCUGGCGGCGUGCCUAAUACAUGCGAGUCGAGCGAACAGACGAGGAGCUUGCUCCUCUGACGUUAGCGGCGGACGGGUGAGUAACACGUGGAUAACCUACCUAUAAGACUGGGAUAACUUCGGGAAACCGGAGCUAAUACCGGAUAAUAUAUUGAACCGCAUGGUCCAAUAGUGAAAGACGGUUUUGCUGUCACUUAUAGAUGGAUCCGCGCCGCAUUAGCUAGUUGGUAAGGUAACGGCUUACCAAGGCAACGAUGCGUAGCCGACCUGAGAGGGUGAUCGGCCACACUGGAACUGAGACACGGUCCAGACUCCUACGGGAGGCAGCAGUAGGGAAUCUUCCGCAAUGGGCGAAAGCCUGACGGAGCAACGCCGCGUGAGUGAUGAAGGUCUUCGGAUCGUAAAACUCUGUUAUUAGGGAAGAACAAAUGUGUAAGUAACUAUGCACGUCUUGACGGUACCUAAUCAGAAAGCCACGGCUAACUACGUG